rnacentral:lncRNA from 1 species
UUUGAUUUUCUGCUUUAUUUUUUCCCUGUCUGUAAUGGAAGACUUCCUUUCUGCUGUGAAUUUCACCUUGAAGACUUCAGUUAGAGUCUUGUCUUAGAUUUCCUAAUAUUCUACUUAUGCCUACUAUAAAUAUGUUGUAUCACUUGUAUCCUUCUAGUAUGCUUUGCUUAUGCAAUUAAUUAUAUUGGAUCAAAUUUCAAUUUAAUAUUUUGAAUGCUGGAAAGCAAGCAAUAAAUGAUGUUAUCCAUCGUGGUCUUUUGUGUGAAGUGCUGAAGAUUUAAAAAGUUAGUAUAAAUGAUCUAUAUGUAGUGCUCAUAGAUGCUUAUACAAAUUUAUCUCUCACAAUCACUUGGACUGUAUGAGAAAUAGGUAAAUACUGGAAAUCUGUUUUGUGAAAAGAAUUCACAGUUUUAGACACCCAGCUUUGAAAUUAAAAAUGUUCUUUUGUGUUAAAAGGAAACUAAAUUAAUAUACAGUUGAUUUAUACCCCUUUAAGACAAUUUCCUCAUUCAAAUGCAUAUCUGAAUGUAUCCAUAUAUAUAUAUAAAUAUAUGUGUAUAUAAUAUUGUAUGUAUAUAAAUAUAUGUAUGUUUAUAUAUAUGUGUGUGUGUAUGUACGUAUAUAUAUGUGUGUGUGUGUGUAUAUAUAUAUAUAUAUAUAUACACACACAUACACGUUCUUUAGUUAACUCAAAAUUUGCACCAAAUUAUAUUAUACCACUGACAGUGGAGUAUUUGCUAAUACUGAUAUAGAACUUCUUAAAAGUUUAGUAGUUCUUUUUCCUCAGUUAGACAAUAAUAACAUAAGAACUCCCCAAAUUGCUUUUUACAUUGAUUUAACAUAUGAAUUACUUUUAAAAUUUAUGAUAUAGGAAAGAACAAAUCAAAUCGCUACCAUAUGAUCCUUUGAUGAAUGUGCAUGCCGGAAUAUAAUUUAAGACAGGCAAUGUUACACAGCAGUUUUUGUAUCUUCUACACUGAAAUUUUCCAAAGUAUAAUCCUGUCUUGGUGAUGUCCCAGCUAGUCACUCUGCAUGGGCUAUAAUUCCUGUAUAUUAGACUGAGGUCUCAGAAAGGGUCAAUUUUGUACUGAACCCUGCGGUCACUGGGCAUCUCAACCCUUCCAGCCAAUCUUACCUCGAGCCCAAAUGCUUCCUUGGAUUAUCUGACAUGCUAGAAGGCCAGGAUUAUGACCAGGUCUAAGACAACAAAAUACCCAAGAUGGCAAAGCUACUUUUCCUAGCUCCAGCACUUCUCCCAGCCACUGUAAAAGAGGCCAGUCUUCUCUGAAUUUAACUAAUGUAUUCAAGUUU